GCCCGCGUAGCUCAGUCGGAUAGAGCGUUUGUCUUCGAAACAAAAGGUCGGCGGUUCGAGACCGUCCGCGGGCG
rnacentral:tRNA from 2 species